AAAUAAAAAGCAGAGUUAAAAGAACCUAUGGAGUGGGAGAAAAUAUUUGCAAACUGUGUGUCUGAUAAGAAUUAUAUGAAACUCAAACAACUCAAUAGUAUAUAAAAAGUUUGGAGGUACCUCAAGAAUUAACCACCAUGUAAUCACCAUGUGAUCCAGCAAUUUCACUACUAUAUAUAUAUAUCCAAAGGAAAUAAAAUCAGUGUAUCAAAGAGACAUCUGCACUCCCAUGUUUAUUGUAGCACUAUUCAAAAGUUAAUUACAAUUGGAGUUUUAACAAAAGGUUAAAAUAUACCAUUACUGAUCUCUAUUUUUCCCCAUUUUUCUUUUCAUUUUUUUUUCUUUUUUUUCAAUACCAGGGCUCAAACCCAGGGCCUCCCACACAAUAGGCAAGCACUCUAUUACUGAAUGACAUCCCCAUCCCUUUUUACUUUAUUUUGAAACAGGGUUUCCUUACGUUACUCAGGCUGGCCCUGAACUUAGGAUGCUUUUCCCUCAACCUUCUGUGUAACUAGAAUUAUAAGCAUGCAUCAUUGCAACCAACUUAUAUUUUCAACUAGCAAAGUCUCUUCAUUCUCUCAUUUUUAGUAUUUUAUUUUUAAUAUAUGGUAACAUCAACAUAAUUUAUAUUCUCAUUCAUACUGCAGCUCAUUUUAAUUUUUAGGAUGCAGGCACAACUUAGAAUUCAAAGUAAAUAGCAACAUAUUGAACUUGAUCCCAGCUUCUUUAAUUUCUCUUGCCAAUGAAGAGCAUUAAGAUAAUAGGGUUGACCAUAUGAUAUUAGAGAAUAUAGCACAAUACAUUACUUUUGAGAAAAUAUCUACUGAUAUGGACUUGAAACUUUGGAUGAAUUUGUUCAGCAUUUUUAGGCUGGAAGUAUUUUCAAUAUUGUAGCAUUAUUUAUAAUAGCCAAGAAAUGGAAAAAACCUAGGUGUUCACCAGCUGAUAAAUGGAGAAAGGAAAUGUGGUAUAUAUAUACAAUGGAUUCAGCCAUAAAAAGAUGAAAUUUCAGUCAUUUGUGACAACAUUGAUAGAACUGAAUGAAGCACAUUAUGUUAAGUGAAAUAAUCUAGGCACAGAAGAUCAGAAGCCAUACAUUCUCACUCACAUGUGGAAUCUAGAAAGUUGAUCUCAUAGAAGUUGAGUGUAGAAUGAUGGUUUCCCCAGCUUGGGAAAGGAGGGAAAAGAAGCAGAUAAGGUCAAUGGGGUACUAAAAGUUAGGAGAAAUAAUAUCUGUGCAAUAAUACUUGUAUUGCAUAGAAAGGUGACUAUAGACAACAUUCAAAUACUACAUAUUUCAAAAAAGCUAAAAGCAAGGAUUUUAAACAUGCCCAUCAUAAAUAUGUAUGCACCGAAUAAAAUUCUAUUUGCUGAAAUAAUUUUAUAGAUUUUCUUUAACAUUUCAAAAAAAUAAUCUAAAAUUGGUCUUAAUACCAGGAAAUUCAAAGGUAAGACUUGGCAAUUUUAGGGGUUGGGGAUGUGGCUCAAGCGGUAGCACACUCACCUGGCAUGCGUGCGGCCCAGGUUCGAUCCUCAGCACCACAUACAAACAAAGAUGUUGUGUCCACCGAAAAAAAACCUAAAAUAGGAAAGGCAGCAGAAUAUAACAGACACUAGUAUGGCAAUAUGUAAA
rnacentral:lncRNA from 1 species